GGGUCCGCGGAGCGCAGCUGGGAUCUCCGGCCGGGGCUGGGCUUCGCCUCCCUUUGCGCAUCCUAGGCGCAGCCCCCUUAAUCGAAGGAACUGGGCUGCGGGGCAGGGCAGGGGAGGGGGGGAGAGGGAGAUAAACUCGGGUGCGCAAAAGGGCAAAGGUGAUGGGGGGCGGGAGGCGGAGGGGAAGGUUGGAAGAGAGGAGGAAAAAAGCAAAGCAAGAAGAGAGUAGAGAACUAGAGAGGAAAGGGAAGGAGAGAUAGAUAAGAGAUGGUUUUCAGGUCCUUAUAUUUCUUUAAUGAAGAGUUUCCUCGGGACAACAGGGUACUAGUGUUACCAGCUCCAAAGUACCGUUUCUGCAAGAUCAGUGCUCAAGAGGGGGAAGAAGGAGACAGGGAAUGAACCCUCCCCCCGCCCCAUCCCCAUGAGAAAUAAGAAGGAAGCUUACAAUCAAUUUGGACAAAUCAGGAACCAACAUAAAAACAGAUCAUUUAAGUGGAAAGAAAAACAACAAAACCAUUGAAACAGAAUGCCAAGAAAAGAUAUUGACCAUGCUUGAUCUGGAUAAUAAUAAAAGAGAAUAUAGAAUGAGCACCACAAGACUGGUACAAAAAAGUGGACUCUUCUAGAAGUUCAAAGGUCAUAUGGAGUGAGAAAACUUCCCUCUGGAGAUUAGGAUUUAUGGUGGGCUUUGAAGAACAAGCAGAAUUCAAAGAAACAGAAGGAGUAAAGUCCCAAAGGUCCUUCAUAGUAAAUUAUGUCACUUUGGAGAUUUUUGGAUUACACUUUUCAGAAAGAGAAGAUGGACAAGGUCAACUGUACUUCAGGUUGCUUGCUGAAGGAAAGCCUGAGAAGAUAUGAGAAACACUGAUCACCUCCAUCAUAUCCCUAUCUUUCUAUAUUAGAGAUUUCAGAGAAUUUCUUAUUGGGUGAAAUCUAAUUCUCCCUCUUGGAUGAGUUGAAUUAUCUAAUCCCAGUUGGAGAGCUCCUUUAUUCUGUAUUGUCUGCUUUAUAUUCCCCUAUGUAUACUUUUUCCGAUUUCUGUUUUGCUAUGGAUUUGGAUAAGUGGGUUUCUUGACUAAUUGUCAUAUGUAUUUUCAUUGUAGAGCAGAUAUUUACUGACAAAAGAGUUCAAGCCUUGUAUGUAAAACUUGGGGUCCUUCUUCUGUUGUCCUCAACUCUAUCCCACUUUUCACUCAGAUGUAAAAUGUUAAUCUCUACCAAUAAGGACAGAAUCCCUCAUCAAUGUGUUUUGGGACAGAGGUUACAAAUAUUUAUAUACCAAUAUAAUAAAGAUAAAUUUUUUAAAGCCAAAAAAAACCCCUAAGAGAUUGGUAAUAGAAACUGAUGAUGACUGAAAUAUCUACAAACUUCAUUUAGUACUCAAUAUAGCAGAAACAUUAGUAUGACAAUUGAUCUAUUUGAUCUAUUCUAGUGAAAUAUGAUAUCAAAAUUUAAAAAUUAGUCCCAUAGUUUUGGCAAAAUUAUAAAGGUAUUUACAAAUUAAGCUUAAUAGAUUUAAAAAAUUGAAAUCCUCAAAUUGUUGUUGAUCAAAAAUGUGAUUAACUAAAACAGUCAUUCCAAACAGAUGAUGAAAUAUACAUUUUUCUACUCUCAAUAAAGAAGGGGGAGUAAUGGGAACAAAAUGUUGCUUAUAAUAUCAGAUAAGACUAAUUUGUCAGUUUGCUUUAAAUUUUCCUUUUAUAAAAUUCAAUGGGAAAAAGCAGGAAGUGUGUUUGUUAUGAAAUGAUGUCAUAUAAA